CAAGUCGAACGCGAAAGCCCCGCAAGGGGUAAGUAGAGUGGCAAACGGGUGAGUAACGCGUGGGUGACCUGCCUUCGAGCGGGGGAUAACGUUCCGAAAGGGACGCUAAUACCGCAUGACAUUCUGCUGCUGAAGAAGCGGAAAUCAAAGCUGGGGAUCGCAAGACCCAGCGCUCGAAGAGGGGCCCGCGUCCGAUUAGCUAGUUGGUGAGGUAACGGCUCACCAAGGCAACGAUCGGUAGCCGGCCUGAGAGGGCGGACGGCCACACUGGGACUGAGACACGGCCCAGACUCCUACGGGAGGCAGCAGUGGGGAAUUGUUCGCAAUGGGCGCAAGCCUGACGACGCAACGCCGCGUGGAGGAUGAAGAUCUUCGGGUCGUAAACUCCUUUCGAUCGGGACGAAUGCCUUUGGCGUGAACAACGCCGAAGGGUGACGGUACCGAGAGAAGAAGCCCCGGCUAACUCCGUGCCAGCAGCCGCGGUAAUACGGGGGGGGCAAGCGUUGUUCGGAAUUACUGGGCGUAAAGGGCUCGUAGGCGGCCAACUAAGUCAGACGUGAAAUCCCUCGGCUUAACCGGGGAACUGCGUCUGAUACUGGUUGGCUUGAGUUUGGGAGAGGGAUGCGGAAUUCCAGGUGUAGCGGUGAAAUGCGUAGAUAUCUGGAGGAACACCGGUGGCGAAGGCGGCAUCCUGGACCAACACUGACGCUGAGGAGCGAAAGCCAGGGGAGCAAACGGGAUUAGAUACCCCGGUAGUCCUGGCCCUAAACGAUGAAUGCUUGGUGUGACGGGUAUCGAUCCCUGUCGUGCCGAAGCUAACGCAUU
rnacentral:rRNA from 1 species